AUUGAACGCUGGCGGCAGGCCUAACACAUGCAAGUCGAGCGGGAACUUCGGUUCUAGCGGCGGACGGGUGAGUAAUGCGUAGGAAGCUACCCGAUAGAGGGGGAUACCAGUUGGAAACGACUGUUAAUACCGCAUAAUGUCUACGGACCAAAGUGUGGGACCUUCGGGCCACAUGCUAUCGGAUGCGCCUACGUGGGAGUAGCUAGUUGGUGAGGUAAUGGCUCACCAAGGCGACGAUCCCUAGCUGGUUUGAGAGGAGGAUCAGCCACACUGGAACUGAGACACGGUCCAGACUCCUACGGGAGGCAGCAGUGGGGAAUAUUGGACAAUGGGCGAAAGCCUGAUCCAGCCAUGCCGCGUGUGUGAAGAAGGCCUUCGGGUUGUAAAGCACUUUCAGCGAGGAGGAAGGAGUUGUAGUUAAUAGCUGCAACUUUUGACGUUACUCGCAGAAGAAGUACCGGCUAACUCUGUGCCAGCAGCCGCAGUAAUAC
rnacentral:rRNA from 1 species